rnacentral:rRNA from 1 species
GAGUUUGAUCUUGGCUCAGGACGAACGCUGGCGGCGUGCUUAACACAUGCAAGUCGAACGGAGCGAAAUGGAAGCUUGCUUCUAUGGAGCUUAGUGGCGAACGGGUGAGUAACGCGUAAUCAACCUGCCCUUCAGAGGGGGACAACAGUUGGAAACGACUGCUAAUACCGCAUACGAUUCAACUUCGGCAUCGAGGAUGAAUGAAAGGUGGCCUCUAUUUAUAAGCUAUCGCUGAAGGAGGGGAUUGCGUCUGAUUAGCUAGUUGGAGGGGUAACGGCCCACCAAGGCGAUGAUCAGUAGCCGGUCUGAGAGGAUGAACGGCCACAUUGGGACUGAGACACGGGCCCAAACUCCUACGGGAGGCAGCAGUAGGGAAUUUUCGCAAUGGGGGAACCCUGAACGAGCAAUGCCGCGUGAGUGAGGAAGGUCUUCGGAUCGUAAAGCU